rnacentral:rRNA from 1 species
GCUUUCGGCCACGCCGCCCCGAACACGCCCGAUCUCGUCUAUCUCGGAAGCUAAGCAGGGUGGGGCCUGGUUAGUACUUGGAUGGGAGACCGCCUAGGAAGACCAGGUGCUGUAGGCG